rnacentral:rRNA from 1 species
CAGCCGCCGCGGUAAUACGGAGGGUGCAAGCGUUAAUCGGAAUUACUGGGCGUAAAGCGCACGCAGGCGGUUUGUUAAGUCAGAUGUGAAAUCCCCGAGCUUAACUUGGGAACUGCAUUUGAAACUGGCAAGCUAGAGUCUUGUAGAGGGGGGUAUAAUUCCAGGUGUAGCGGUGAAAUGCGUAGAGAUCUGGAGGAAUACCGGUGGCGAAGGCGUCCCCCUGGACAAAGACUGACGCUCAGGUGCGAAAGCGUGGGGAGCAAACAGGAUUAGAUACCCCGGUAGUCCCUGUCUCUUAUAC